rnacentral:lncRNA from 1 species
UGGACAUCUCAAUGUAGGAGCAGACGUACUGUUGAGACAGUGGCCAAGGCCUGGGGAAUGGAUGCUUCACCCCGAGGUGGUGAAGCAGAUUUGGAGAGUUUUUGGCAAAGCUCAGGUGGACCUCUUUGCGACUCAAGAGACAUCGCAAUGUCCCCUCUGGUUCUCUCUAGUUCAUCCAGCUCCUCUGAGACUGGACACUAUGGUAUAGACUUGGCCGAGGCUUCGUCUGUACACUUUUCCCCCUAUCGCUCUGCUCCCGGGAGUUCUGGCGAGAGUACGCCGGGACGGGAUUCGGCUGUUAUUAGUAGUCCCGUCCUGGCCGGGCCGAGUAUGGUUCUAAGAUCUGGUCUCGCUCCUCAACGGCUCUCCAUGGGAGAUUCCGAUCAGGACAGAUCUACUCUCACAGGCGCAGGGCAUGAUAAUUCACCCUUGCCCGGAGUUGUGGAAACUGUGGGUAUGGCCCCUGAGGGGGCACAGCUCAUAGCAUCCGGUCUCUCAACUGAAGUUGUUGAGACCAUCCUCCAAUCCAGAGCUCCCUCAGCGAGGAAACUGUACGCCCUGAGGUGGAAACUCUUCACCUCAUGGUGCAGAGACCGCCAGCUUGACCCAGCUAACUGCCCAGUCGGUACAGUUCUGAAAUUUCUACAAGCCAGGUUCUCUGCAGGGUUGACCCACUCCACCUUAAAAGUUUACGUGGCGGCCAUUGUGGCCUACCAUGUCCUUCUCGGUGGCCAGUCAGUGGGAAGAGACCCCCUAGUGACAUGUUUCCUCCGCGGUGCGCUGAGGCCUCCAGUACGGUCCCGCGUUCCCCCCUGGGACUUGGUUGUGGUAUUAGAGGCUCUCUGUAAAGCUCCAUUCAAGCCGAUUCAAGAUAUAUCAGAUAGACAUCUGACCUUAAAGACUGCCUUCCUGUUGGCUAUUACUUCUCUGAAGAGAGUUGCAGAUCUUCAGGCCCUCUCAGUGGCCCCUACUUAUCUUGAUUUUGCACCCGGCAUGGUCAAAGCAUUUCUAUACCCUUGAGCGGGUUAAGUUCCUAAAGUUCCCUCUGUCACACCACAACCUAUAGUACUGCAACCCUUCUGCCCUCCUCCCUUUCGGAAGCCCGACCAAGAGAAGCUUAUUUGUAUGUGUCCAGUUCGAGCGCUGGACACAUACGUCCACAGAGCUGCCCUGUGGAGAAAAU